rnacentral:misc_RNA from 1 species
AAAUACUAGGUGUAACAAUUAAUAAUAUUAGCCAAAAAAGAAAGACAGUGAAGCUAACGCCAAGCAGAUGCGACGGUGAGUGUUUUUCCCAUCCAACCGAAACCAACCCCACCAUUUUCUUCUUUAACAGUGAAACCUGUGUUCAACCGGUUUCCAGAACUCAGUCUGGCUUUCAUCGACUCUCCCACGUUUUGACUCAGUGGCUU